rnacentral:rRNA from 1 species
GACAGAGGCCUCAAGCGUUAGGCGGAAUCACUGGGCUUAAAGCGUGUGUAGGCGGAUCGUUAAGUACCUUGUGAAAUCCCACGGCUCACCCGUGGAACUGCUGGGUAUACUGGCGGUCUUGGGCCAACUAGGGGCAGCUGGAACAAGCGGUGGAGCGGUGAAAUGCGUAGAUAUCGCUUGGAACGCCGAAGGUGAAAACAGGCUGCUGGGGUUGUGCUGACGCUGAGACACGAAAGCCAGGGGAGCAAACGGG